rnacentral:rRNA from 1 species
UGGAGUACUCCUUCUAAGCUAAUAUCACCACGAGACCGAUAGCGAACAAGUACCGUGAGGGAAAGUUGAAAAGCACUCUGAAUAGAGAGUCAAAAAGUACGUGAAACUGCCUAGGGCUCAAGCCCGUUGAACUCGAUUAUCCGAGCGGAAACAUUCACCUGCGGUUGGCCGGCUUCCCGGCCGGCAGGCCGCAGGGCACUUGUCUCCCGCGUCCACGAGGACAUUGCGAUCCAUUACGAAACAGCUUUCGCGUCGCAAGACGCAAGGUCGCCCGACAGUUGCCCCUUGGUGCCGGUUGCUUGCCCCACAGUAGCGACGCUCAGUUCUGAAGGCCUGUGCCGCGAGGUGGGGCUUACUGCACGUGGUGUUUGCAGUCGGGCGCGUGAUGGAUUUCCGCGUACACCGUCGGUCUUCCCGCAAUGGGCCGGCGGACUGUCGAUCGGCAAUGAUAAAAUCGAGGUACCUCCGGGACCCGUCUUGAAACACGGACAAUAAAUUCACACACA